rnacentral:lncRNA from 1 species
AGGCAUUUCAAGCAAACUAACUGCUUAUCGAUCAAAGUAGGGCAUGCAUAAACUUGAAGAAAUAACUACAUUUCUGGUUCCUAAUCUUUCCAAGUGCUUUUUCUGGAUAAGCUGCUGAGUUCUCCAUAUUCUCAAGUUACAAUUACUAAUCCUACCAUCCUCAAGCUUCCACAAAAAGUUAAACACAUCAAGAGUCUAUGUAACAUCCCACAUCGCUCAGGGGAGUGAUCCUUAAAUGUAUAUUCUCAUCCCUACCUAGCACAAGGUCUUUUGGGAGCUCACUGGCUUCGGGUUCCGUAGGAACUCAGAAGUUAAGCGAGAAGGAGGCCAGAGCACUCCCAGUGAGUUCCCAGAAACAAAACCGUGAGGGCGUGGUCAGGGCCCAAAGCGGAUAAUAUCGUGCUACGGUGGUGGAACGGGCCCAGGAUGUGGUGGAUCCGGGCCGGGAUGUGACAGUCUAAGACAAGUUAUGUCAAUCCUAUCAACCAUUUAAGCGACACCGUCAUCCUUUUUUUUCUUUUUAGUUCAGCAUAACUAACACCAGGGGCUCCGCAAAUGUAACAUGUCAGAUUAAUUUCAAAAUAUUCUAUAAUUCCGUUAAGAGAGUACAUUUGCAUACGUUGGCAUGGUUAACUGUUAACUUGACACCAGGCCUACAUAAGCUGCAAAACAAUUCUUAAUAAUGCGAUGCACAUCCAAGUAAAACAAAAUUGGAUGGAUUAUAUGUUCUGCAAGAUAAACAUGGAGUGUGUAUUCAGGGGAAAAAUGGAAAGUCCAUAGAGAGAGAGAGAGAGAGAGAGAGAGUCUGACCUAUUGGAAUUCUUUUCCUUCAUUUUGCUUCUCUCUCUGGCUAACCACUGUCAAACCCAAAAUUAUUAUCAGAAAACUAGAACACAGACAAAUAAAAUCCAUAGGCAUACACAACUGAUUCUUUAACUCAACAAGCAAUAUUAAACAAACAGAUUCCAAACAGAUGCAUGUGUUUCACCUGCUGUACCAGCUUUAGCUGCACUUUCUUGUCUCCACUGAGUUCAAAUUCAUCAAAUUGUCUGAGACAUGAACGGAUCAGAAAUCACAAACAGUUUGAUAAAUAAAAAAGUAAUGGGAGUGUGCCAUGCUGAAAUUGAAAUACGCGUGAAUGAAUUCACAUUGUGAAGUAUAAACAAGUUAUGUUAAUCCUAUUAACUAUUCAAGUGACAUUGUCAUUACCAAAUUUGACAGCAGGCCUUAUAUAAGCUGCCAAAACAAUUGAUAAUAUUGCAAUGCACAUCCGAGUUAAACAAAAACGGAGAGAGAGUCUGACCUGAUGAACUUAUUAUUUUCCUUCGUUUUGCCUCUCCGUCUGGCUGCCCACCAUCAAACCCAAUAUUGUUAUCAUAAAACUAGAACACAAACAAAAAUAAAAUCCGUGGCAUACACAACUGAUUCUUAUGACUCAACACAGAAGAUUAAAUAAAAAAGAUUCCAUAUAGAUGCUUGUGUUUCACCUGUACCAUCGCUGCCUGAAAUUUGUUGUCUUCUUCGGGUUCAAGAUCCUUAAAUUGUCUAAGACAUGAAAGAAUCAGAAAUCAUAUACAGUUUGAUAACAAAACAUGUAAUGUGAUGUGACGUCAUGAAACUGAAAUUAUAGGGAGAUUUGAAACAUAAAAGUCUUGAAGGAACUCAUGGUGUGAAGCAGUAACCAAGUUCGAAUCCACCAGAAAUCUGAAUAUCAAUGUCACGACCAACAGAACAUAAAGUCUUGAUACACCUUUCCCCUGAACCGUCAUUGACAAUUUCUAAUGUUGUGAUCCACAGAGGUUGAAAUCCCCUGCCCCUGCUGCAAAAGAAAGUUUGCAGGAGACAAAAUCUUAAUUCCCCCAAAUGAACCAAAGACUCUGUUACAGUGUUGUCCAACUCAAGGAAACUUGUGAACUCCGGAAACUUGAAUAGAUUCUUUACGGUAAAGAGAAUGCGACCACUAGGAUCUGAAUCCAUCCCAAGAGAGAAGAUAUGAUAACCCCGCUCACUGUAGAUGCGGCGUAGAUAACAUCGUUUACGACGACAGCCCUCCCCACAAAAGAAGGAUAAGGCUUAGUACCAGUCAUAUCAUCAUCAACUGUAGGUACGUAAACUGGGUGCCAUGUUUCACUGGCAAUGUGAAAAAAGCACGAACUCAGAUGGUCCAAAGUCAUACAAUGAAAUUAGAAAAUACAACCGUAACAAACAGUCGAGCCCAUAACUCCACAUAGGAAGGUCCCGUUUUCUGACCAUAUUUUGGAAAAGGAUUGAGAGGCUCCCAAAUGUCCUUGGGAUUAUAACACUCAAACGAUGGAUUUGUUAUAAGGGGGAAGGAUGCUGGAUCAGUAAGAUGGUAAAGCUUGGAGGGGCUGCCGUACCUCACACCGUCCAAUAUAAUAUAAUCGGGGACUGGGACUGGGAACUCAGAUGAUUUUUUUGGAUCGAAGAACCAGUGAACAGGUUCAAGUGGCCUACAUGUUUCUCCUCCCAAAACUUCUCCUGCUUGGUUGAUUUUCAACUCAUAUAAGGCUGCUCUGAAGGGCGAGGAAUAAAGUUCAUCAGCAUUAACACAGAUGUUGUAGGGCUCUCCUCCUCCAUGGGCAGGCUGAUCACAACAAUAUUACAGUCCAAGUUCAGAUAAAUUUUCAAAUUUAAAAACAAAAUAAAAUGCCUCUACUUUUAAUCAGUGGUUCCAAAUUCAAAACAGAUUACUCUUCUAAAAUGGUGGCACUAGACAUAAUAGCUGACAUCAAACACUGUAUGAAAUUUAUGAAUAAAAAUUCAAUUAGAUAAAACAAAAAUUAAAAAAUAAUGUAUAAAUCAAGCGACUGACCUUGUUGCUGUCUGGGAAGUCAUCUGAAAGAGAGUGGAAGAAAAUCCGAUCAGAAGUUCAACUGUGUUAGAAAGAAAUCGGAUGAAUCAGAGACGGGAGAGUGAUUGUAUCCAAUUCCAACAUUGCCCAGCCAACACCGCCUCGUCCUUGUAGGGUGCUCCAUACCUACCCUCUUCUUAUUUAGCUCGUCAAAUUCGAUGGAUUGGGUCCAUGAAAUUUCUUUGUUCCUAAUUCAUGUUUGUCUACUUGUUGCACCUUAUUUCACUUGUUACUAUACUCUCUCUCCUUUGUGUGAAAAAUCUCAAAUCAAAUACGGAACUCCCUCCUACUUGUGAACGUGCUCGUUGAUCUUUCUUCUUUUUAAACUGCAGUUAAUGGCAUUCAGUUCAUCACACAAGUUAAUGUAGCAAGACUGGACAAAGCUCGGUUUCAAUUUUCGAGGUGAGGGUUUCUAUUCCUUUAGUUAUAUUCUGUAGAAUAUUGCAUCCACUAUGAGGAACUAGAAGCUAGGUGAACACAAAAUCAUUGAAAAAAUAACCAAACCAUUAAAACUAAAACAUCACAUGAUACUCUUUCAGGGUAUGUAUGGAAUCCAAACAAUACCCUCAAGAGUUAAUAAGUCUUCACAAAUUCACCCGCUAUGAGAUGUUAGAAGCUAGGUUCACACAAAUUCACGAGAAAAAUAGACAAAUCAUUAAAACCAAAGAAACUCCCAAGAUUUUAAGUCUUUACAAAUUCCCCUGCUAUGAGAAGCUAGGUGUACACAUAAAAUCGCUAGAACAGACAAACCAUAAAAACAACACCUAAUGCAUGCUUUGUUCAGAGUAUUUCCUCUACCUUCUUGAUCCUUAAGGUUGCAUGUAUACGACUCAGUAAACCGGGAAAGCACGUGUUUAUCUUCUCAUUGAUCUUGUCGAGCUCUUCAUCCUUGACGUAAUGGACAUAAACAUUUCGUAUUACUCGGAUCAAAUCCUCAACGCUAUUCCCAUUUAAUUUUUCUCAUUUCUCUUUUUGUGUAAAUUUUUUUGACUUAUCCAGAUAACCAUCUAUGACUAUCUUGGUGUCCCAAUUUCUGAAUUCUUCAAAAUCAAGGCCUCUAAUUUUCGUAUCAAAACAAGGACCAUUGAGCCUUGUUUUGUGCUUCUUUGAUUGGUGAAAAUCAAAGUAACAUUUGAGCCUACUGAACUCACUCUUCAAAGUUGGGUGAUCGAUGAGCAUAGAGACAAACCUAUCAUAACUAGGAAACAGAUUAAGUUUUCAGGUAUAAGAUUAAGUUUUCAAAUGAAUAAAAGUGCUUUUAUAGAAAAUCUUUUCGGGUUCCAAAAACACUUGAAGUGCUUUUCCUGUAUUGUUUCCAAAAAAUUUCCACAAAAAACGUUUUUGGUCAUUUUAAAAGCACUUCCAAACAAGCCUAAACUUGUUUACUUACUUCCACAAGUAAGUUUGCCCACCAUUUGUGAAGCAAUUGAGAAGUUGUGUCCUAUCCACUAUCGUCAGUGGGAAUUUAUCAGUGAUAAAUUCACCCAAAUCUGACAAGUCUUGAAACCUUUGCGUAUGGCCGUCAUUCCCACUCUUAAUGUUAAAAAUCAUCACAUCAUCGCCUAAGAUCACAUAGUUGGAUACUUUCUUUAAUUCCCUAUGAAUCUGAUCCUUGUUGUGCAUAUACUGUAUCGUCAUAAGUGUCUUCCUACACAAGUAAGCAACUUUAAUAAGUUCCACGUACACGUAUAGUCACACACACGCACACACAAAGAAACACAUGAACACUUACUAACGAGCAUUCUCCACCACAGGUCGGUGCAAUUGUUUCUGUUUGUCCACUGAUUGUAGGUGGAAAAUGUUCGUUAGUAAGCGUUCAUGUGUUUCUUUGUGCGUGCGUGCGUGUGACUAUACGUGUACGUGGAACUUAUUAAAGUUGCUUACUUGUGUAGAAAGACACUCAAGACAAUAUAAUACAUGCACAACAAGGAUUAGAUUCGUGGGGAUUAAAGAAAGCAUCCAGUUAUGCGAUCUUAGGCGAUGAUGUGAUGAUUUUUAACAUUAAGGACAGGAAUGACAGCCACACGCAAAGGUUUCAAGACUUGUCAGAUUUUGACGAAUUUAUCAUUGAUAAAUUCCCACUGACGAUAGUGGAUAGGACAUAAUUUCUCAAUUGCUUCAAAAAUGGUGGGCAGGCUUACUCGUGGGAGUAAGUAAACAAGUUUAGGCUUGUUUAGAAAUGCUUUUAAAAUGACCAAAAACGCUUUUUGUGGAAAUGUUUUUGGAAACAAUCUAGGAAAGUGCUUUUGGAACCCAAAAACAUUUUCUCUAAAAGCACUUUUAUUCAUUUGAAAGCACUUCCAAAUGAUUGAUUAGUUGUUCAAUUAAAUUAUUUGGUAUAUUAUUCUUAUACCUGAAAAUUUAAUUUGUUUCCUAGUUAUGACAGGUUUGUCUCUAUACUCAUCGAUCACCCAACUUUGAAGAGUGAGUUCAACAAGCUCAAAUGUUACUUUGAUUUUCACCAAUCAAAGAAGCACAAAACAAGGCUCAAUGGUCCUUGUUUUGAUACGAAAAUUAAAGGCCCUGAUUUUGAAGAAUUCAGAAAUUGGGACACCAACAUAAUCAUAAAUGGUUAUCUAGAUAAGUUAAAAAAAUUAACACAAAAAGAGAAACGAGAAAUUAAAUGGGAAUAGUGUUUAGGAUUUGAUCCGAGUAAUACAAAAUGUUUAUGUCCACUAUGUCAAGGAUGGAGAGCUCGACAAGAUCAACGAGGAGAGAAACACGUGUUUUCCCGGUUUACUGAGUCGUAUACAUGCAACCUUAAGGAUCAAGAAAGUGUAGGAAAUACUCUGAACAAAGCAUGCAUCAGGAUUUGUUUUUAUGGUUUGUCCAUUGUUCUAGUGAUUUUAUGUGUACACCCAGCUUCUAGCUUCUCAUAGCAGGUGAAUUUGUAAAGACUUAAAAAUCUUGGGAGUUUCUUUGGAUUCAUGUAUACUUGAAAGAGUUAAAGGUGUUGUUUAGUUUUAAUGAUUUGUCUAUUUUUCCCUUUGUGUGAACCUAGCUUCAAACGGAUGAAUUUGUGAAGACUUAUUAACUCUUGAGGGUAUUGUUUGGAUUCCAUGCAUACCCUGAAAGAGUACCAGAUACUGUUUUAGUUUAAUGGUUUGGCUAUUUUUUCAGUGAUUUUGUGUUCACCUAGCUUCUAGCUUCUCAUACCGAAUGCAAUAUUCUACAGAAUGAAACUAAAGGAAUAGAAACCCUCACCUCAAAAGUUGAUAAGCAGGCUGUUUGUAGGUGGAGAACAUUCGUUAAUGAGCAGGUUUUGAUGUGCCAAGCCGGAGCUGUUUCAGAAGUGUCUCGCGGCCAUUUUUUUUAGUUUUGUUGAGUAUGGCACCAAGGUAGACUCCACUGCUUUUCCGUCUUCAAAGAAGACAGUUACUUGUCUCGGUGUGUCGAAAGCGUAGUGGUUACCUUCAGAUUGGGCACAAGCAAUCUCAUAUUCUAUCACGCUUGCACCUGUAAUCUAAAUUCAAAUAACCAAAAUAUAAAAACUAAUAAGUAAUGUAAAUUAAGAUAUUCAGUUACUCAUUGAGUUAAAAGGUUAAAAAACAAAUGGUUGACUGAACGUACAUGCAAACUAAUCGAUUGGCUCUGUAAAAUGGCCACCCUAAUCAAAUGACAAUGCACUAUAAACUGAAUCGACAACAAGAAUACAAAAAGAAUCCAAGCGAUGGGCGGGUUUUGAAGAUGAUAUAUAGCACGCAUACUGUAUUAAUUAAUAAAAUUAAACAAUUAGAUAGUAGAAUUCACAGAGACCAACAAGAUUGAAGAUUGUGGAUAAAAUAAAAUUGGAUUGGGAGAAUAAUAUCCAUAUUCAUACAAAUUGCUGUUCAGAUUGGGCACUGCUACUGCUACUCAUACUGGUAGAAAGUAAAAGGAAAACUAAAAAGGAGAAUUUUACUGACCUUGUGAGAAUCAGCUGAAUCUGCCACUUUCAAGGAAAAGGAAAGGGGUUUUUUUUAGGGUUUUGGGUGGAUAUGAUUUUGGGGAUGGCCGAUUCCAAAUUCAAAAUCCAACUUUUCCUUAGCCCUUUACUAGGGUUUUAGGGUGCGGUGGAUGAUUUGGGGCUCAUCAUCCAAUAUCCAGGAAGAAGAAGAAGAAGAAGAAGAGCGACCAAGGAGUUAUGUAGCCCUUUCUUCCUUCCGCCAUUCUUCAUCCAAUGACGAAUAUAGGAGCAAUUCCGCCCAAAGCCUUUGCGCUGGCACCAAACGCAGUUAUCUACUCAAAUUAACAGUAAUAAACCAGUAAACGAUAAUAGGUCAAAACUAGCAUUUGAGCCCGCGCGAUGCCGCGGGUUGGAAAACUAUGUUAUACGUAUGACAUAAAAGCUACCUCUCAACCCAUGCCAAAAUGUUCCCAAUCAAGAUCAAUCACAAAUGUCACAGAGCAAUGCUCUGAUCAAAGCUUCUAAAAAGGAACAUAGCUAAUAAGAUGUAAUAACUAUCAAACUCGUAUAAAUAUAAACACACAUUCCAUUACAUUUCCAGUAAACUAAAACUCAAAAACUCUAUUUGACAUUGCAUUGUAAAUCCCCUUCUAGACCAGAAAAGAUAACCAUAUUUCCAAAAAAAUAUUUUAUACACACAAAUAGAUAAUCAGGUAAACAUAUUAUCCAUUGGUUUACCAUAUGUUUUCCAAAAAAAUAUUCAAAAUUUUCAUGUAAUAAAUUGGCAGGCGGUGCUGAAUACUAAAUUACGAAUACAAUUAUAUGUAAUGGGCAAAUGUGCCUUGAAGCUCAGAAAUACAAAAUACACAUAGCCAAAAACUCAGUAAAAAGCAAAGACUCGUUAACCCAUUAACGAAAAACAACAAAGAAAGCCUUUGGGUUACCAUCGUCGAAUGGUCUCAUUUGCCUUGAAAUGGGGGUACCGCCCGAGCUUGAAUUUUCAUGCUUGUGAAUCGUUAACCCUUCUAAGUGAGAGUUGACUUGGUUUCACAAUUCCAACUCGUGCAAUUUUGUACACCAUUUUGCACAGCCCUAAGAUCCUGUAUUACAAUUUGAAUUUCGCUUACACAUGCAUACACUACAAAAGUAGUACAAUGAUUUAAUACAAAGACUCUGACUUAUCACUUGCAGCCAUGUUUCCAAUUACUGCAUCUCUUUGUUUUAUUAAUUUUUCUUUAUAAUCAAACAUAAAUCACAAAGAUAGUUCAAAGACCAAAAAAAGAAAAAGAGAAAAUAGAAAAUCAUAUUGAAAACCCCUACCAAAGCACAUUAAUAAUCAAACAUAAAUCACGCAAUUUGAGAAACAAACCCCUGUUUGAGUGCUACCGAUCAGAUCCUGCCCUUGCAUUGCUGUUUCCACAGAGCACUCUCUACACAAAAUCCCAAAAAAAAAUUAAUACAUAGUAACCAACAAAUAAAAAAAAUCUUCUUUUUCAAUCAUUUUCUCAUAUGGGGAACAACCUGCUAAUACCCUUCAUGGCCAAAGCACUAAGAAUAAUUCAUAUAUGUUUUUCAAUUUUCAAAUCGCAUACAAAGUGGAAUAUAAAUCUUAAAACUUUUAAGCCAAAAACAGAUGCACUAUUUUUCCAGAUUCCCAAAGAAAAAAAAAAGAAAAGGCAAGUGGAAACACAAAUCUUGUGAAAUAAUUAUGAAUAUUCUAUAAAUAAUCACAUGCAGAUCAUUACCCGAUUAAUCACCAAAAGAUCACAACAAAAACCCACUGCUAGAAAUUGAAAGACAUAGCAUAUUAUCAGUUCAAGAUUAUAAAAAAUAAAAAUAAAAAUAAAAAAUAAAAAAUAAAAAAUAAAAAAAAAAGAGAAAAUUCACAACAAAGCAAGCCAAUGAACAAAACCCACGAAGAAAAUCUCAAAAUUCCAAAACCUGAAAAGGAUUAUGAAAACAAAGACGCACCCAGAACUAAGAGCUCAGUGGAAGCUCCGUUUACACAAAAGCUAUAACCAAAUGUAAAAUUUGGAUUUUUACAUUGUUUCUUCGUUUUUAACAAUAUUUGGGUUGCAAGUAUAUGGACGGUGGUAUCUUGGCUUCAAAUUUUGAAUUUGUAAAGGUUGCUGUCAUUUGAUACACAACUGUAAAAUUUGGAUGCUCCAGUGGAAGAUCAGGCUGCAAAUUCAAAAUUCAAAACACAAAAAUCCAAAUUAAACACAAUUCAAAAGCGAUUUAAUAGUUACCAACGAUAAAUCCACCAUGCAUCUAAUAAAAAAUACAAAAUUAAACAAAAAAAAUACAGAGAGAAGAAAAGGGUACCACAUAUUUGCAUGUCGCUGCUGCUCUUCAGAACCCACAAAAUUCGAGCCGAAAGAUGGUGGCGGCGGUGGUUCCGUGAGAGGCGGUGCCGCAGGGUGAGAUUUCUUUCGCUGCAGGUAUCUGCUGUCGUCCAAGAAAACCUGAUAGCCAUGCGCAAACACAGACGGAGAGAGAGAGAGGAGAACAGGAGUACAUCCAGACCUUUCCCUUCCCAGAGAGACAAAAAUGAAGUAGAAGAGUCCAGAAGAGGCAAAAUCGAACUACAAAAGUUUUAAACCCGAGAUUCAGAUCGCAUUUUUCAACCCCUAAAACCAAAUAGUACAUUUAACCGACUUAACACGAUGGAAGGCAUAAAUCAAAUCUAGGAUAUCAUACUCAACCUGCAUUGCAGAAACGAACACUGUAGCUUAUAUACAUUCUCAAUGUCCUCCGCAAGUCCUCUCUCCAAUGGCUCUGCAAUCUACAAAAGGUUUUUAGAAGAUUAUAAUUUUAAAACUGAAUCACAUAAAAUUUCUGAAAUUAGGUUGCUUCUUACCAGAGUUAUUUUAUUCUUCUUAUUGGAUGUUUCAGCAAAGCAUUUGAUUGACUUCUACAAACAAAAUGAAACAACAGGAUCAACCUACAAACAAAAGCAUAUCCAUCAAGAAAAGAACAUAAAAUUUUACAUUCUUAAGGGGUGGAAAAAUUACUUUAAAAAGAAAAAACGUCAAGAGAGGAUGAGGAUUGGGAGCAAACAAUUACCUUGACUUCUACUUCCAAAUAAAGCUCUCUUAGGUCCUUCAUUAUUCUGACAUACCCUAUAACACAUUAAUUUAUGUUAAAAAAACAUAAAAAUUAAGCACCAAAUCUUUCACUUCAAAUUCCAUAAAAAUCAAACCUCUGAAACAUAAAGUUAUUGGGCUUUCUCUUGUGAGGAGGAGUUCAAAACUCUCCCAUUGCAAUCCUCAUAGAGAAUCGCCACGUCAGCCUUGGAAAAAACUCGAAUCAAAGCAAAAACAUGUAAAAGAGCGGUGCCAUACCUGUGGAGCUCGAGCAUGGAAAGGCUCUGGUUCCAUGCAAAGGCUCUGGUUCCUUGCAAAACAAAAGAAAAAACGUUUACAAAUCUAGCUUUACAGAGAUGCACAACCAGUCGAACAACGGAUAUUGGAAACAAAAUCCCCAAACAAACGAAAACCAAAUUUGCUCAGGAAUCCGAUAGAACGAAAAACACAAACAAAUCAUACACCAAAACAACAGAUCUAACAAUAUAAAGAAAAUACCCAAAAUCAGAUUAAAAAAAAUUGAUCCAUAAAUCACCACAACAUGGCAAACUACCAGCAAAAUACUAAAACACAAUUAAUAAAAAACUUAAAAACUCACAAACUGGAGCUAACAAAUCCACUCUCACGAAAUUGAAAACCCAAUCCAGUCGGAACCGAUCGAGAAGUUUUAAAGGCCAAAAAAUUUCCAGAGGUAAUUAAUUCUAGAAGGGGUUUUUAAGGGAACCAAUUUCCACAGGUGAUUUGGAUAAGAAAUGAAACAGUAAAUGAGGCGUGGGAGAAAGUGAGAGAGCAAUUAGUGGUGACGGAAACCGAAGGAGAAUUCUAGAGAUCCACCCGAGAGAAGCAGAAAGAGUGCCACAUGUCCCCUUCCUUUCUACGAUGGCGGACACGCGUAGAUAAGGGUUUAAAAAAUUAAGAAAAAACUAAAAGAAACUCCACAGAUGCACGCACGGGUGAAUCGAAAGGGCAAAUUCGGUAUUUUACUGUACAAAAGACAAAGAGUAACGGCUGAUGAUUAACUUGAGGGGCAUUUUGGUCCGCACACUGCCCUAUAACAGUAACCAUCGGUUUGAGUUUUAGUAUAUAUAGAAUAUCUCCACCCUAAAAAAAUUCACUGGCACCCAAUUUAAAAUGCGCUGGCAUAAAUGAUUUUCAUCUUUACAAAAUGCAUUGGCACCCAAUUCAUUCAAAAUAUUUUAAAUUUUUUUAUAAAAGAAUAAAUAAAUAAAAUAGUUUUAAUUUCGGAUAAUUUUUUUAACCAAUCUCAUCACGCCACGUGUCAUUAUCCGAACGUACUAUUUUGUUAAUAUAUUUCUGCUAAGAUUUGCAACCAAUCUUGAUGCGCCACAUGUCAGUAUUUGUUUGCAAUAAGAAAGUGUAGAAAGUAGAAAAUAUUGAAAUAUGAUGUAAGAAAGUGGAAAAUGAGGGUUAGAUAUUUAUAGAAAAAAAUUAAAAUUUUUAAAAUUUUUCUAUAUUUUUAAAUAAAUUUUAAUGUUGUUAAUUAAUAUGGACCGUUGGAUUCGAAAAAUAUUCCAAUCCAACAGCCAACAAGCAGCCACGUGACCAAAGGUCAUAAUUCUGACCGUUGGGCUUUUUUUUUAAGGGGGAAAACGUAGACCGUUGAUAUGUGAUCAGACGGUCCAGUUUAAAAGUGAAAUUCAAAUUUUUUUUUUACCAUUGAAAAUCCAACAAUCUAGAAAAACUAGUCAUUGGAAAUCCAACAGCAAAGAGAGGGCCACGUCGCCAUGAUCCGAGUGAUGGGUGA